rnacentral:rRNA from 1 species
GAUGAACGCUGGCGGCGUGCCUAAUACAUGCAAGUCGAACGAACAGAUGCUGAUCUUGCUCCGCGGACGUUAGCGGCGGAGGGGAGAAUAACGCGUGUAUAACCCACCUAUAAUACUGGUAUAACUUCGGGAAACCGGAUCUAAUACCAUAUAAUAUAUUGAACCGCAGUGGUCAAUAGUGAAAUACGGUGUUUCUGGCUCUUAUAGAUGGUUCCCGGCCGCAUUAGCUGGUUGUUAAGGUAACGGGUUACCAAGGCGACGAUGCGUAGCCGAGCUCAGAGGGUGAUAGCCGACAUUGGAGGUGAGACACGGACAAUACUCCUAAGGGAGGCAGCAGAAGGGAAUGUUCGGCAGUGGGGGGAAGCCUUACGGAGCAACCCGGAGCGAGUGAUAAAGGUGUUCGGAUCGUAAAAAUCUGUUACUAGUGAAGAACAAAUGUGUAAGUAACUAUACCCGUCUUGACGGUAACUAAUCAGAAAGCAACGGCUAACUACGUG